AUUGAACGCUGGCGGCAGGCCUAACACAUGCAAGUCGAACGAGUGGCGGACGGGUGAGUAAUGUCUGGGAAACUGCCUGAUGGAGGGGGAUAACUACUGGAAACGGUAGCUAAUACCGCAUACCAUCAGAUGUGCCCAGAUGGGAUUAGCUUGUGGGUGGGGUAACGGCUCUCCAGGGCGACGAUCCCUAGCUGGUCUGAGAGGAUGACCGGCCAAUGUGGACAUGAGACACGGUCCAGACUCCUAGGGGAGGCAGGAGUGGGGAAUAUUGAACAAUGGGCGCAAGCCUGAUGCAGCCAUGCCGCGUGUAUGAAGAAGUCCUUCGGGUUGUAAAGUACUUUCAGCGGGGAGGCGUUACCCGCAGAAGAAGCACCGGCAAACACCGUGCCAGCCGCCGCGGUAAUU
rnacentral:rRNA from 1 species